CCUACGGGCGGCAGCAGUGAGGAAUAUUGGUCAAUGGGCUUACGCCUGAACCAGCCAAGUCGCGUGAGGGAAGACUGCUCUAUGGAUUGUAAACCUCUUUUGUCAGGGAGCAAUUGGCGCUACCUGUAGCGUUAGCUAGAGUACCUGAAGAAAAAGCAUCGGCUAACUCUGUGCCAGCAGCCGCGUUAAUACGGGGGAUGCGAGGGUUAUCCGGAUUUAUUGGUUUAAAAGGUUGCGUAGGCGGAAUGCCAAGUCAGCGCUAAAAUCGCGUUGAUAAACAUCGAUCUGCCGUUGAAACUGGCGAUCUUGAGUGGGCGAGAGGUAAGCGGAAUGCGUGGUGUAGCGGUGAAAUGCGUAGAUAUCAGGCAGAACUCCGGUGGCGAAGGCAGCAUACCGGAGCACAACUGACGCUGAAGCACGAAAGCGUGGGUAUCGAACAGGAUUAGAUACCCGAGUAGUC
rnacentral:rRNA from 1 species